AUACCUUUCUCGGCCUUUUGGCUAAGAUCAAGUGUAGUAUCUGUUCUUAUCAGUUUAAUAUCUGAUAUAUAGGUUAUGUGCCUAUUUUGAUAUUAAAUUUAUUUUUUGUGGGGAGGGUCCACUAAAGUGGCUUGCCACUUGGGCCCUCACGCGUCGCUCAGGCGUUGCACUGCUGCUCGGGCCUGGCGCACCCCAA